GAUGAACGCUAGCGGCAGGCUUAACACAUGCAAGUCGAGGGGUAGAGGAAGCUUGCUUCCUUGAGACCGGCGCACGGGUGCGUAACGCGUAUGCAACCUACCUUUUACAGAGGGAUAGCCCAGAGAAAUUUGGAUUAAUACCUCAUAGUAUAUAGUCUUCGCAUGUUGACUAUAUUAAAGUUCCAACGGUAAAAGAUGGGCAUGCGUCCUAUUAGCUAGAUGGUAAGGUAACGGCUUACCAUGGCAACGAUAGGUAGGGGUCCUGAGAGGGAGAUCCCCCACACUGGUACUGGGACACGGACCAGACUCCUACGGGAGGCAGCAGUGAGGAAUAUUGGACAAUGGGCGCAAGCCUGAUCCAGCCAUGCCGCGUGCAGGAAGAAGCAUCUAUGGUGUGUAAACUGCUUUUGUACAGGAAGAAACACCCCGACGUGUCGGGACUUGACGGUACUGUAAGAAUAAGGAUCGGCUAACUCCGUGCCAGCCGCCGCGGUAACAC
rnacentral:rRNA from 1 species